rnacentral:rRNA from 1 species
GUAGGGAAUAUUGCGCAAUGGGGGAAACCCUGACGCAGCGACGCCGCGUGAGUGAUGAAGGCCUUCGGGUCGUAAAGCUCUGUUGCAGGGGAAUAAAAAAAUGAAGGUACCCUGUGAGGAAGGAUCGGCUAACUUCGUGCCAGCAGCCGCGGUAAGACGAGGGAUCCUAGCGUUGCUCGGAAUCAUUGGGCGUAAAGAGGGCGUAGGUGGCUUGGUAAGUCAGGUGUGAAAGCCCAGGGCUCAACCCGGGAAGUGCAUUUGAUACUGCUGAGCUUGAGUGUCGGAGAGGUUACCGGAAUACCUGGUGUAGUGGUGAAAUACGUAGAUAUCAGGUGGAACACCGGAGGCGAAGGCGGGUAACUGGACGAACACUGACACUGAGGCCCGAAAGCGUGGGGAUCAAACAGGAUUAGAUACCCUGGUAGUCC